GCGAAAUACGAUACGGGACUCAUCCGAGGCCCCGUAAUCGGAAUGAGUACACUCUAAACCCUUUAACGAGGAUCAAUUGGAGGGCAAGUCUGGUGCCAGCAGCCGCGGUAAUUCCAGCUCCAAUAGCGUAUAUUAAAGUUGUUGCGGUUAAAAAGCUCGUAGUCGAAUUUGUGUCACGCGCCGCCGGUUCAUCGCUCGCGGUGUUAACUGGCGCGCUUGCGGGACGUCCUGCCGGUGGGCUUAGCCUUUCGGGGCGGCCCAAUCUCAAUCCCACCGCGGUGCUCUUCACUGAGUGUCGAGGUGGGCCGGCACGUUUACUUUGAACAAAUUAGAGUGCUUAAAGCAGGCUAAAACUUCGCCUGAAUACUGUGUGCAUGGAAUAAUGGAAUAGGACCUCGGUUCUAUUUUGUUGGUUUUCGGAACCCCGAGGUAAUGAUUAAUAGGAACGGAUGGGGGCAUUCGUAUUGCGACGUUAGAGGUGAAAUUCUUGGAUCGUCGCAAGACGGACAGAAGCGAAAGCAUUUGCCAAAAACGUUUUCAUUGAUCAAGAACGAAAGUUAGAGGUUCGAAGGCGAUCAGAUACCGCCCUAGUUCUAACCAUAAACGAUGCCAGCUAGCGAUCCGCCGACGUUCCUCCGAUGACUCGGCGGGCAGCUUCCGGGAAACCAAAGCUUUUGGGUUCCGGGGGAAGUAUGGUUGCAAAGCUGAAACUUAAAGGAAUUGACGGAAGGGCACCACCAGGAGUGGAGCCUGCGGCUUAA
rnacentral:rRNA from 1 species